rnacentral:rRNA from 1 species
UACGUAGGGGGGCAAGCGUUGUCCGGAAUCAUUGGGCGUAAAGAGCGUGUAGGCGGCCUGGUAAGUCCGCUGUGAAAGUCCAGGGCUCAACCCUGGAAUGCCGGUGGAAACUGUCAGGCUCGAGUCCGGAAGAGGCGGGUGGAAUUCCGGGUGUAGCGGUGGAAUGCGUAGAGAUCCGGAAGAACACCAGUGGCGAAGGCGGCCCGCUGGGCAGUGGCUGACGCUGAGGCGCGACAGCGUGGGGAGCAAACAGG